UCUAGCACCAUGUCCAGUUGGCGCUCUGCGCGGACCGAAUCCAAAGGAUCAGGGCCUGCGAGGCAAGAAGCAGCCGCGAGGGGGCAGCAGAGACCGUGGCUACCUGGGGGCGCAGGCGUGAAGCCCGGCUAGCCUCCGAUCUCGCCCCACACGUCGCCCAGCACCUUAGGCUGGGGUAGGAGGGAGAUGAGCCCAGGCUGGUAUGAAACUCCUGUCUUCAAGCAAUCUGUCUGCCUCAGCCUCCCAAAGUGCUGGGAUUACAGGUGCAAGCCAUUGUGCCCAGCCCCCAUGACUCUUAGAAUAAAUGACUCUGGC
rnacentral:lncRNA from 1 species